rnacentral:rRNA from 1 species
UACGUAGGGUCCGAGCGUUGUCCGGAAUUACUGGGCGUAAAGCGUGCGCAGGCGGUGAUGUAAGACAGGUGUGAAAUCCCCGGGCUUAACCUGGAAACUGCAUUUGUGACUGCAUCGCUGGAGUGCGGCAGAGGGGGAUGGAAUUCCGCGUGUAGCAGUGAAAUGCGUAGAUAUGCGGAGGAACACCGAUGGCGAAGGCAAUCCCCUGGGCCUGCACUGACGCUCAUGCACGAAAGCGUGGGGAGCAAACAGG